rnacentral:rRNA from 1 species
UUCCCCUUCGGGGGACAGGGUGACAGGUGGUGCAUGGUUUGUCGUCAGCUCGUGUCGUGAGAUGUUGGUUAAGUCCCGCAACGAGCGCAACCCUCGCCUCUAGUUGCCAGCAUUCGGUUGGGCACUCUAGAGGGACUGCCGGCGACAAGUCGGAGGAAGGUGGGAUGACGUCAAAUCAUCAUGCCCCUUAUGACCUGGGCUACACACGUGCUACAAUGGGCGGUACAAAGGGCUGCGAACCCGCGAGGGGGAGCGAAUCCCAAAAAGCCGCUCUCAGUUCGGAUUGCAGGCUGCAACUCGCCUGCAUGAAGCCGGAAUCGCUAGUAAUCGCGGAUCAGCAUGCCGCGGUGAAUACGUUCCCGGGCCUU